CCCUUAGCUGUCCGGGGCCGCACGCGCGCUACACUGAAGGAAUCAGCGUGGCUUUCUCCCUGACCCGAAAGGGUUGGGAAACCCGUUGAAUCUCCUUCGUGAUAGGGAUUGGGGCUUGAAAUUGUUCCCCAUGAACGAGGAAUUCCCAGUAAGCGCGAGUCAUAAGCUCGCGUUGAUUACGUCCCUGCCCUUUGUACACACCGCCCGUCGCUACUACCGAUUGAACGGUUUAGUGAGGGCCUCGGAUUGGUCUCGGCCCGCUCUUUACCGGGCGGCGCCGUUGGUCGAGAAGACGCUCGAACUUGAUCGUUUAGAGGAAGUAAAAGUCGUAACA
rnacentral:rRNA from 1 species